rnacentral:rRNA from 1 species
UACGAAGGGGGCUAGCGUUGCUCGGAAUUACUGGGCGUAAAGGGCGCGUAGGCGGACAGUUUAGUCAGAGGUGAAAGCCCAGGGCUCAACCCAGGAACUGCCUUUGAAACUGUAAAGCUAGAGUGUCGGAGGGGAUAGCGGAAUUCCUAAUGUAGAGGUGAAAUUCGUAGAUAUUAGGAGGAACACCGGUGGCGAAGGCGGCUAUCUGGACGACAACUGACGCUGAGGCGCGAAAGCACGGGGAUCAAACAGG